AACGAACGCUGGCGGCAUGCCUAACACAUGCAAGUCGAACGAGACCUUCGGGUCUAGUGGCGCACGGGUGCGUAACGCGUGGGAACCUGCCCUUAGGUUCGGAAUAACUCCCCGAAAUGGGUGCUAAUACCGGAUAAUGUCUUCGGAUCAAAGAUUUAUCGCCUUUGGAUGGGCCCGCGUUGGAUUAGCUAGUUGGUAGGGUAAAAGCCUACCAAGGCGACGAUCCAUAGCUGGUCUGAGAGGAUGAUCAGCCACACUGGGAGUGAGACACGACCCAGAAUCCUAAGGGAGGGAGCAGUAGGGAGUAUUAGACAAAGGGCGAAAGCCUAAUACAGCAAUGCCGUGUGAGUGAUGAAGGCCUUAGGGUUGUAAAGCUCUUUUACCCGGGAUGAUAAUGACAGUACCGGGAGAAUAAGCUCCGGCUAACUCCGUG
rnacentral:rRNA from 1 species